UGGAGCUCAGUGGUAGAGUGCUUGCCUAGCAUGCAGAAAGCUCUGGGUUUGAGCCCCAGCA
rnacentral:tRNA from 1 species